rnacentral:misc_RNA from 1 species
CUUCUUGGUAUGCCAUUAACUUCUUGCUGGCUAGAAUUUGCAAGUCAUUUGCCACAGGCAACGACUACUUAAAAUUAGAAAAGGGCUCUGAUUUCAUCAAGGGCAUAGAUAUUUUGGUUAAACAUGGAAGAUAUAUUACACCACAAUGAAUCAAUUAUUGCCUUCUGAAAUAUAGAUUAAUGAUUAAUUCUUCUGUUUUGGAAUCUCCUUUUAAGAAUGAUUAAAAACAGAAUACCUAUGAACUUUUUCCCCUUCUGAGCUCUUUAAGCAACAUAAUGGAGGCAAAGUUCACUUUUAAAAUAAUUACACAUUAGCAUUUCUUUAGCAAAUGGAAGUAUUCUUUAAGAUUUUCUGAUAUGAUUUUUUUUCCCAUUUUGGUAUUUGAUCAGGUUGAUGAACGGGCAGUUCUCA